rnacentral:rRNA from 1 species
UACAGAGGUGGCAAGCGUUGUUCGGAAUUACUGGGCGUAAAGGGCGCGUAGGCGGCCUUCUAAGUCGGACGUGAAAGCCCCAGGCUUAACCUGGGAACUGCGUCCGAUACUGGGGAGGCUUGGAUUCGGGAGAGGGAUGUGGAAUUCCAGGUGUAGCGGUGAAAUGCGUAGAUAUCUGGAGGAACACCGGUGGCGAAGGCGGCAUCCUGGACCGAGAUCGACGCUGAGGCGCGAAAGCUAGGGGAGCAAACGGG